GCUGCAACACAGCUCAGUUGGUGGAACAUGAGACUCUUAAUCUCAGGGUUCUGGGUUCGAGCUCCACUUUGGGUG
rnacentral:tRNA from 1 species